UCUUAUGGAUGAACAAAGAGAGUGGUUUUUUGAGAUGGAAUCUCCUCCUGGUGAAGAUGCUGUGAA
rnacentral:pre_miRNA from 1 species